AGGCUCAAGAAUUUUGUUGGCUGUGUACAAACUGAUUCAGGUGUAGUGAAAGAUGUUAAGGGUAUUCGAUCUGAGGUGGUUAAAUUUUUCAAACUCUUAUACAGUGAAUCCCAGUGUUGUCGUCCCACUCUCUUGCUAGAUAAUCUUAAAAGGUUGUCUGCUGCGGCAUCUGAAUCUUUGGAAUCUCCUUUUCUUUUUGAAGAAGUAAAGGUUGCUGUUUGGUCUUGCGGUAGUGACAAAGCUCCAGAUCCUGAUGGAUACAAUUUCCAUUUCAUCAAAUCAUGUUGGGAUAUUCUUUCAAAGGACAUUAUGUGUAUGGUGGAUAACUUUUACAGAUCUGGUACUCUACCUCGCGUUGUCAAUUCCUCAUUUAUCUCUCUGAUUACAAAGGUAAUUGGCUCAUCUCUGCUUACUGACUUCAGACCUAUUA
rnacentral:misc_RNA from 1 species